CAUGGGGUGCAAACGUUGCUCGGAAUUAUUGGGCGUAAAGCGCGCGUAGGCGGUUACUCAAGUCGGAUGUGAAAGCCCUCGGCUUAACUGAGGAAGUGCACCCGAAACUGAGCAGCUAGAGUACUAAAGAGGGUCGCGGAAUUCCCGGUGUAGAGGUGAAAUUCGUAGAUAUCGGGAGGAACACCGGUGGCGAAGGCGGCGACCUGGGUAGAUACUGACGCUGAGGCGCGAAAGCGUGGGGAGCAAACAGGAUUAGAUACCCUGGUAGUCCACGCCGUAAACGAUGGGUGCUAGAUGUUUCUGGUAUUGACCCCGGAGGCGUCGUAGCUAACGCGUUAAGCACCCCGCCUGGGGAGUACGGCCGCAAGGCUA
rnacentral:rRNA from 1 species